UUCAUGCAAUCAUAUAUUGGGUUGUUUUACCAUGCUUCCCUUUAUCGUGACAUUUUGAGACUACGACAAGUCCUUAUUCAGCGUCUAGUCGUGUCUCAGGUGUUGGAAAAUCUGAUUGAGAAUUCUAUUCCUUAUCUCAAAUACAGCUACAAAAAGUACAGUGCUGUUCGCAAGAAAAGACAAGAGAGAGAAUCACCAUCAGGGAAGUCAGUUCGAUUAUCAACAAGAGUGGAGAAAGAAUAUUUAAAACUCUCUUAUACUGCAAGCAUUGGAGCAGAGCUCGAAGAUGGUCUAU